rnacentral:rRNA from 1 species
GACGGAGGAUGCAAGCGUUAUCCGGAAUGAUUGGGCGUAAAGCGUUCGCAGGUGGCUGUUCAAGUCUGCUGUCAAAGACCGGGGCUUAACCCUAGAAAGGCAGUGGAAACUGAACGGCUCGAGUGCAGUAGGGGUAGAGGGAAUUCCCAGUGUAGCGGUGAAAUGCGUAGAGAUUGGGAAGAACACCGGUGGCGAAAGCGCUCUGCUGGACUGCAACUGACACUGAGGGACGAAAGCUAGGGGAGCGAAA